GGUGAACAUCAAUAAAAGACUUCCAAUUGGCCAAUUUAUUAAUGCUUUAAAUCAGCCAAUCAAGACGGAGAUAUGAUUAGCGAGCUUUGUCAUCUACACUCAACUUGGCAUUGGUCAAAUCGCAUCUUGUGGCUGCAAAUUCAUAUGCAUCACAUAGCUCCUAACCAGUUUGCAAGUUGCAAGGUUCUUACUGUGGGAGCUUUGCAUCAAGUUGAUUUUGCUGCACUUCGCAGUGCAGCUAUUGCCUGGCAUGAUGAGUCUGCACCUUUGCCCAAACCCUUAAUCGUGGUUAACAUUGGGGGCCCUACAAGUCAUUGUAAAUACUAG